rnacentral:rRNA from 1 species
CGGGACACGUGGUAUCCUGUCUGAAUAUGGGGGGACCAUCCUCCAAGGCUAAAUACUCCUGACUGACCGAUAGUGAACCAGUACCGUGAGGGAAAGGCGAAAAGAACCCCGGCGAGGGGAGUGAAAAAGAACCUGAAACCGUGUACGUACAAGCAGUGGGAGCACGCUUAGGCGUGUGACUGCGUACCUUUUGUAUAAUGGGUCAGCGACUUAUAUUCUGUAGCAAGGUUAACCGAAUAGGGGAGCCGAAGGGAAACCGAGUCUUAACUGGGCGUUAAGUUGCAGGGUAUAGACCCGAAACCCGGUGAUCUAGCCAUGGGCAGGUUGAAGGUUGGGUAACACUAACUGGAGGACCGAACCGACUAAUGUUGAAAAAUUAGCGGAUGACUUGUGGCUGGGGGUGAAAGGCCAAUCAAACCGGGAGAUAGCUGGUUCUCCCCGAAAGCUAUUUAGGUAGCGCCUCGUGAAUUCAUCUCCGGGGGUAGAGCACUGUUUCGGCAAGGGGGUCAUCCCGACUUACCAACCCGAUGCAAACUGCGAAUACCGGAGAAUGUUAUCACGGGAGACACACGGCGGGUGCUAACGUCCGUCGUGAAGAGGGAAACAACCCAGACCGCCAGCUAAGGUCCCAAAGUCAUGGUUAAGUGGGAAACGAUGUGGGAAGGCCCAGACAGCCAGGAUGUUGGCUUAGAAGCAGCCAUCAUUUAAAGAAAGCGUAAUAGCUCACUGGUCGAGUCGGCCUGCGCGGAAGAUGUAACGGGGCUAAACCAUGCACCGAAGCUGCGGCAGCGACGCUUAUGCGUUGUUGGGUAGGGGAGCGUUCUGUAAGCCUGUGAAGGUGUACUGUGAGGUAUGCUGGAGGUAUCAGAAGUGCGAAUGCUGACAUAAGUAACGAUAAAGCGGGUGAAAAGCCCGCUCGCCGGAAGACCAAGGGUUCCUGUCCAACGUUAAUCGGGGCAGGGUGAGUCGACCCCUAAGGCGAGGCCGAAAGGCGUAGUCGAUGGGAAACAGGUUAAUAUUCCUGUACUUGGUGUUACUGCGAAGGGGGGACGGAGAAGGCUAUGUUGGCCGGGCGACGGUUGUCCCGGUUUAAGCGUGUAGGCUGGUUUUCCAGGCAAAUCCGGAAAAUCAAGGCUGAGGCGUGAUGACGAGGCACUACGGUGCUGAAGCAACAAAUGCCCUGCUUCCAGGAAAAGCCUCUAAGCAUCAGGUAACAUCAAAUCGUACCCCAAACCGACACAGGUGGUCAGGUAGAGAAUACCAAGGCGCUUGAGAGAACUCGGGUGAAGGAACUAGGCAAAAUGGUGCCGUAACUUCGGGAGAAGGCACGCUGAUAUGUAGGUGAAGUCCCUCGCGGAUGGAGCUGAAAUCAGUCGAAGAUACCAGCUGGCUGCAACUGUUUAUUAAAAACACAGCACUGUGCAAACACGAAAGUGGACGUAUACGGUGUGACGCCUGCCCGGUGCCGGAAGGUUAAUUGAUGGGGUUAGCGCAAGCGAAGCUCUUGAUCGAAGCCCCGGUAAACGGCGGCCGUAACUAUAACGGUCCUAAGGUAGCGAAAUUCCUUGUCGGGUAAGUUCCGACCUGCACGAAUGGCGUAAUGAUGGCCAGGCUGUCUCCACCCGAGACUCAGUGAAAUUGAACUCGCUGUGAAGAUGCAGUGUACCCGCGGCAAGACGGAAAGACCCCGUGAACCUUUACUAUAGCUUGACACUGAACAUUGAGCCUUGAUGUGUAGGAUAGGUGGGAGGCUUUGAAGUGUGGACGCCAGUCUGCAUGGAGCCGACCUUGAAAUACCACCCUUUAAUGUUUGAUGUUCUAACGUGGACCCGUAAUCCGGGUUGCGGACAGUGUCUGGUGGGUAGUUUGACUGGGGCGGUCUCCUCCUAAAGAGUAACGGAGGAGCACGAAGGUUGGCUAAUCCUGGUCGGACAUCAGGAGGUUAGUGCAAUGGCAUAAGCCAGCUUGACUGCGAGCGUGACGGCGCGAGCAGGUGCGAAAGCAGGUCAUAGUGAUCCGGUGGUUCUGAAUGGAAGGGCCAUCGCUCAACGGAUAAAAGGUACUCCGGGGAUAACAGGCUGAUACCGCCCAAGAGUUCAUAUCGACGGCGGUGUUUGGCACCUCGAUGUCGGCUCAUCACAUCCUGGGGCUGAAGUAGGUCCCAAGGGUAUGGCUGUUCGCCAUUUAAAGUGGUACGCGAGCUGGGUUUAGAACGUCGUGAGACAGUUCGGUCCCUAUCUGCCGUGGGCGCUGGAGAACUGAGGGGGGCUGCUCCUAGUACGAGAGGACCGGAGUGGACGCAUCACUGGUGUUCGGGUUGUCAUGCCAAUGGCACUGCCCGGUAGCUAAAUGCGGAAGAGAUAAGUGCUGAAAGCAUCUAAG